UACGUAGGGUGCGAGCGUUAAUCGGAAUUACUGGGCGUAAAGCGUGCGCAGGCGGCGCGUUAAGACAGGUGUGAAAGCCCCGAGCUUAACUUGGGAAUUGCGCUUGUGACUGGCGUGCUGGAGUGUGGCAGAGGGAGGUGGAAUUCCACGUGUAGCAGUGAAAUGCGUAGAGAUGAUGGAGGAACACCGAUGGCGAAGGCAGCUCUCUGGGACGGUACUGACACUGAGACGCGAAAGCGUGGGGAGCGAACAGG
rnacentral:rRNA from 1 species